AACCAGUGAGAAAUCUGCUCCCAGUGUUGCCUCUUCUUUAGAAUCAGAGAGCUCAGAAGAAUCUUCGGGGAAGUCAGGAGAUCAGGAAGAAGAGGUUCUGCCUCAAGAAACUGGAACCGGUUCUGAGCCUGUUAUCCCUGAAGGAAUUGUGAGACCUGUUGAAGUUGCUGACCUUCAUCCAGAGCAAAAGGCUGCAAGUCCUCCGGUCUUUGCAAGUGGUGAC